UAGAGAACCCCACACUCUUUAUCAUUUGUUCUCUCAUUCUUAAAGCCUUUUCUUUACUAGUCUUGAAGACCCAAAAUCAAAAUUCAAUCACAUCUUUUGUUUCUAUAUCCAAACAUUGUUAAGAAGAGAUUUGAAGAAGUUAUACAAGAUGAGGCUUCUUCCCAUUUUUUUGGCAUUGCUUAUCAUGGCUUCAAUGAUAGAAGCUAAGCCCCUUAUUGGUUUCAAUAAUUGUCCUGUGCCUAGAAAUAGAUGUGCAAAGGCAUGCGUUAGAAGAUGCGCACUUAAAGGUCACAAGAAAAGAUGUUUGUUUUACUGCAACCAUUGUUGUAAUUGGUGCCAAUGUGUUCCACCAGGAUACGUUGGCCAAAAUAAAGGGUGUUGUGCUUGCUAUACCAAUUGGCACACACAAUUAGGAGGACCAAAAUGUCCAUGAAAAUAAUUUAAUCAUGGAAGAAAAAAUGGUGGAUCAAUUUAUGUUUAAUUUGCUUUAAUUUGAACUUCUUGAGAAGGAUUUCCCAUGUAUUGUUAAAAUCAAGAAUUAAUAUUUCUUGAUUAAGUUUUAUGUUUGGUCACCAUGAUCAAACUAUUAUCCA